AGGGUUAUAGUUUAAAAUUAAAACAUUUGACUUGCAUUCAAAAAAUAUUAAUUUAUUAAUUUAUCUUA
rnacentral:tRNA from 1 species